AACCAGACUGGAAUUUCUCUGACUUUAAGCACACUGCAGGGGCUCCUAGGCUGAAGUUACCCUGCAGCCUCUUCUCUCUGUCUCUGGAUCCUGACUACUCUCAGAAUUCAACAGUGUCAAGACUCUACCAAAGGACAUGGAUGAAUCUGGAAAACAUCAUCCUCAGCAAACUGACACAAGAACAGAAAAUGAAACACCGCAUAUUCUCACUCAUAGGUGGGUGAUGAAAAAUGAGAACACAUGGACACAGAAAGGGGAGUACUAAACACUGGGGUCUAUUGGGGGGAAAAGGGGAGGGCCAGUGGGAGGGGGAGGUGGG